rnacentral:rRNA from 1 species
GACGAACGCUGGCGGCGUGCUUAACACAUGCAAGUCGAACGGUGAAGCUCCAGCUUGCUGGAGUGGAUCAGUGGCGAACGGGUGAGUAACACGUGAGCAACCUGCCCCUGACUCUGGAAUAAGCGCUGGAAACGGCGUCUAAUACUGGAUACGAGAAGGGUUCGCAUGGGCACUUUCUGGAAAGCUUUUCGGUUGGGGAUGGGCUCGCGGCCUAUCAGCUUGUUGGUGAGGUAAUGGCUCACCAAGGCGACGACGGGUAGCCGGCCUGAGAGGGCGACCGGCCACCCUGGGACUGAGACACGGCCCAGACUCCUACGGGAGGCAGCAGGGGGAAAUAUUGCACAAUGGGCGAAAGCCUGAUGCAGCGACGCCGCGUGAGGAAUGACGGCCUUCGGGUUGUAAACCUCUUUCAGCAGGGAAGAAGCGAAAGUGACGGUACCUGCAGAAGAAGCACCGGCUAACUACGUG